rnacentral:rRNA from 1 species
UACAUAGGUGGCAAGCGAUGUCCGGAAUUACUGGGUGUAAAGGGCGUGUAGGCGGGACUGCAAGUCAGAUGUGAAAUUCCCAGGCUCAACCUGGGGGCUGCAUCUGAAACUGUGGUUCUUGAGUGCUGGAGAGGAAAGCGGAAUUCCUAGUGUAGCGGUGAAAUGCGUAGAUAUUAGGAGGAACACAAGUGGCGAAGGCGGCUUUCUGGACAGUAACUGACGCUGAGGCGCGAAAGCGUGGGGAGCAAACAGG